rnacentral:sRNA from 1 species
AUGGAUGAAACAACUAAAAAUCUGAAGAUUUUAUAAGAUUUCCAUAUGCUGUAGACCACAAGGAUGAGGCAGUUGUUGUCCUACCUGGAAGCAGGCAGUGCCUUGACUCAUUUGCUCCAGACCCUGUCUCUGACAUGCUUGGCAGACAUUCUCCCCAGAUGAGUCACUCCUGAGACCUGCAUUUGAGUGGAUCUUCCAUGUCCUGCAACCCUGAUUUCCACCUCAGCCAUUCUUGCCCUUAUUACCUUAUCCAUGUCAUUAUUGAACUUGCUCCCUGCUAUAAACUUUGCAUGUGUGUGGACCUCCAAAAUUCCUAUUUUGAAAUCUAAUCACUGAUAUGCAAUAGAAUUAAGUGGUGAGGACUUUUGAGAGGUGACUGGGUCAUUGAUAUGGUUUGGCAGUGUCCCAUCCAAAUCUCAUCUUGAAUUGUAACUCCCACAAUUUCCACAUGUCAUGGGAGGGACCUGGUGGCAGGUGAUUGAAUUAUGGGGGCAGCCCUUUUCCUGCACUGUUUUUGUGGUAGUGAAUGAGUCCCAUGAGAUCUGAUGGUUUUAAAAAGGGGAAUUUCCCUGCACAAGUUCUUCCCUUGUCUGCCACCAUGUGAGAUGUGCCUUUCACCUUCUGCCAUGAUUGUGAGACCUCCCCAGCUACGUGGAACUGUAAGUCCAAUAAAUCACUUUCUUUUGUAAA